rnacentral:rRNA from 1 species
CGGACGGGUGAGUAAUGUCUGGGAAACUGCCUGAUGGAGGGGGAUAACUACUGGAAACGGUAGCUAAUACCGCAUAACGUCGCAAGACCAAAGAGGGGGACCUUCGGGCCUCUUGCCAUCGGAUGUGCCCAGAUGGGAUUAGCUAGUAGGUGGGGUAACGGCUCACCUAGGCGACGAUCCCUAGCUGGUCUGAGAGGAUGACCAGCCACACUGGAACUGAGACACGGUCCAGACUCCUACGGGAGGCAGGCAUG